AAUGAAAUAGAAGCAAGGAGAGAGUAAUAUCCUUCAACAAUAUCCUUCCUUAACCUGUUAAAUGCUCUUAUAUCUGAAGAAAGAGACUUAAGUGAUAGAGGGCGCAGAUUCAUUGGAAUUUUCAAGUUCAUUUAUGAUCAUGUUUUUAGGCCAUUCCCUCAAAGAGCCUAUGUCGAUCCUUGUGAGAAAUGGCAAUUAGUUGUUGCAUGUCUUCAGCACUUUCAUAUGAUGUUGAGUCUGUAUGACAUCAGUGAAGAGGAUAUUGAUGGUGUCAUUGAUCAAUCUCAGCUUUCAACAGUAACACAAUCUUCACUCCAGAUGCAGCUACCAAUUCUA